rnacentral:rRNA from 1 species
UGGGGAAUAUUGGGCAAUGGGCGCAAGCCUGACCCAGCAACGCCGCGUGAAGGAAGAAGGCCCUCGGGUUGUAAACUUCUUUUGUCAGGGACGAAGAAAGUGACGGUACCUGACGAAUAAGCCACGGCUAACUACGUGCCAGCAGCCGCGGUAAUACGUAGGUGGCAAGCGUUAUCCGGAUUUACUGGGUGUAAAGGGCGUGUAGGCGGGAGAGCAAGUCAGACGUGAAAUUCCAGGGCUCAACCCUGGAACUGCGUUUGAAACUGUUCUUCUUGAGUGAUGGAGAGGCAGGCGGAAUUCCGUGUGUAGCGGUGAAAUGCGUAGAUAUACGGAGGAACACCAGUGGCGAAGGCGGCCUGCUGGACAUUAACUGACGCUGAGGCGCGAAAGCGUGGGGAGCAAACAGGAUUAGAUACC